rnacentral:rRNA from 1 species
UACGUAGGGUGCAAGCGUUAAUCGGAAUUACUGGGCGUAAAGCGUGCGCAGGCGGUUUUGUAAGUCGAACGUGAAAUCCCCGGGCUCAACCCGGGAACUGCGUCCGAUACUGGGGGGCUUGAAUCCGGGAGAGGGAUGUGGAAUUCCAGGUGUAGCGGUGAAAUGCGUAGAUAUCUGGAGGAACACCGGUGGCGAAGGCGGCAUCCUGGACCGGUAUUGACGCUGAGGCGCGAAAGCCAGGGGAGCAAACGGG